rnacentral:rRNA from 1 species
AAAGGGUGAGUAAUAUGUGGGUAAUCUACCUGCGAGUGGGGGAUAACCUGGGGAAACCCGGGCUAACACCGCAUACGAUGCUGGGACUUACGUCCUGGUCUGAAAGCUGGCCUCUGCUUGCUGGCUAGCGCUCCCAGAGGAGCCCGCGGCUGAUUAGCUGGUUGGUGGGGUAAUGGCCUACCAAGGCGACUAUCAAUAGCCGGCCUGACAGGGUGAUCGGCCACACUGGAACUGAUACACGGUCCAGACUCCUACGGGAGGCAGCAGUGGUGAUUAUUGGACAAUGGGCGCAAGCCUGAUCCAGCAACGCCGCGUGGAGGACGAACGUCUUCGGAUCAUAAACUCCUGUCAGGUGGGACGAAGGUAAGUGGGUGAAUAAUCCGCUUGCUUGACGGUACUACCAAAGGAAGCCCCGGCUACCUCCGUGCCAGCAUUCGCGGUAUUACGGAGGGGGCGAGCGUUAUUCGGAAUUAUUGGG